UGCGGCGGCAAUUACGGCGAGGUCCCACCUCUUCCCAUUCCGAACAGAGCCGUUAAGCUCGCCAGUGCCGAUGGUACUGCCCCACCAGGUGGGAGAGUAGGUCGCUGCCGCAU
rnacentral:rRNA from 1 species